rnacentral:rRNA from 1 species
UACGAAGGGGGCUAGCGUUGCUCGGAAUCACUGGGCGUAAAGCGCACGUAGGCGGCUUUUUAAGUCAGAGGUGAAAUCCUGGAGCUCAACUCCAGAGCUGCCUUUGAUACUGGAGAGCUUGAGUCCGGGAGAGGUGAGUGGAACUGCGAGUGUAGAGGCGAAAUUCGUAGAUAUUCGCAAGAACACCAGUGGCGAAAGGCGG